rnacentral:rRNA from 1 species
GUGAGGAAUAUUGGACAAUGGAUGGAAAUCUGAUCCAGCCAUGCCGCGUGCAGGAAGACGGCCCUAUGGGUUGUAAACUGCUUUUAUACGGGAGCAAUAAGGUCUAUGCAUAGAUUGAUGAGAGUACCGUAUGAAUAAGCAUCGGCUAACUCCGUGCCAGCAGCCGCGGUAAUACGGAGGAUGCGAGCGUUAUCCGGAUUUAUUGGGUUUAAAGGGUGCGUAGGCGGCUUUGUAAGUCAGCGGUGAAAUUUUGCAGCUUAACUGUAAAAGCGCCGUUGAUACUGUGAAGCUAGGAUUUGGUUGCUGUGGGCGGAAUGUGUGGUGUAGCGGUGAAAUGCAUAGAGAUCACACAGAAUAUCGAUUGCGAAGGCAGCUCACAAAGCCAAUAUUGACGCUGAGGCACGAAAGUGUGGGGAUCAUACAGGAUUAGAAACCCGAGUAGUCC